UUCUUCGGGGCUGUGGAAUACUUGGUUCACCGGGAGACGGUACUGUGGGAGUCCUGUGGGACGAACCGAUGCGGGAAUGCUGUUCAAACUUUGAGGCUGCGGGCUCACAAGGACCUGUACAAGACCUAAUCGUUAAUGUGUCAAUGUGAACGAGUUCGAACGAUUAUGACACAAUUUAAUGACAAUGAUUAUACCUGCGGGGCGGGACGACGUGUCGGAGCGGCCGUAGGAGUGAUUUGAUAGUCACCGACUUCCCUCUCAUCCGAAUAAAUAUCAGCGGGAUAAUACCUUUCGCUGUACCUCAGUGUAACAUUGGGCUUGGUCUCGGCCUCUUGAAGAUUCAGCGGCUUGUACAGAUAUUCAUUGACGAAAUGGUAUUGCGAACUCUUCUUACAACUGAUGUCGCCGCUGGGUGGCAUGCAGAUUAAGUGUACCUGAUAUAAUCAAACAAUGAAUUUUAGUUCCAUCACAAUUGAAUAUUUCAUAAAGAUACGAGCGAUCAAAGACAACUAUCGAGACAUUAAGUACGCGAAAAAAAGGAGAAUAUUUGCGUUUCCACUAACUUGAUGGAAGGUGAAGCCCUCCGGGCAGAUCCAAGAAUGCUUGGCGUUGUCCUGGCAGUAAUGGAAGACCUCGC